rnacentral:rRNA from 1 species
UACGGAGGAUCCAAGCGUUAUCCGGAAUCAUUGGGUUUAAAGGGUCCGUAGGCGGGCCUGUAAGUCAGUGGUGAAAUCUCCCCGCUCAACGGGGAAACGGCCAUUGAUACUGCAGGCCUUGAAUUAUCAGGAAGUAACUAGAAUAUGUAGUGUAGCGGUGAAAUGCUUAGAUAUUACAUGGAAUACCAAUUGCGAAGGCAGGUUACUACUGGUGGAUUGACGCUGAUGGACGAAAGCGUGGGUAGCGAACAGG